rnacentral:rRNA from 1 species
AAGUCGUGGGGCAGCAUGAGUAGCAAUACUUGAUGGACGACCGGCAAACGGGUGAGGAACACGUACACAACCUUCCUUCAAGCGGGGAAUAGCCCAGAGAAAUUUGGAUUAAUACCCCAUAAUAUAUUUGAUAAGGCAUCUUAUUAAUAUUAAAGCUUCGGCACUUGAUGAUGGGUGUGCGGCUGAUUAGAUAGUUGGCGGGGUAACGGCCCACCAAGUCUACGAUCAGUAGCUGAUGUGAGAGCAUGAUCAGCCACACGGGCACUGAGACACGGGCCCGACUCCUACGGGAGGCAGCAGUAAGGAUAUUGGACAAUGGACGAAAGUCUGAUCCAGCCAUGCCCGCGUGAAGGUAUUAAGGUCCUCUGGAUUGUAAACUUCUUUUAUAUGGGACGAAAAAAGGGCAUUCUUGUUCACUUGACGGUACCAUAUGAAUAAGCACCGGCUAACUCCGUG